GGGAAAAAACAGCAUCGAACAGAGAAAGAAGAGAGUUUGUUUCGUUAUGUUAUAUGUUGGACCGUCUGAGUCGGUGGUGACUGGAGGUGGAUGAGUCGGAGUGGGAUGACCUUCGGUCGUCGUCGGCUCCGCUCGGUCUCCCCUUGUCGCCCGCGAAGACGUUCAAAAAUCGAAUGAAAUCACAACCGUCAUGUUCGGGCUGAGGACAAACGAUCAAGACAAUUUCUGAAGAACUUCUAAAUCGGUCUGAGGAACGAACUUGUACUUUGGUUAUUGGCCUGACUUCUCUCUGAUGAUAGCACAGCGUAAAACAACGAGGAUUGGCGGACCAGGAUGAUCAGAAACGAAUAAGAAGUUCACCACCCCAUAAACCUCAAGAAGAAAUCUCGUCUCCUCAAUUUGAACUGCAAGCUAGGUUGGUCUGUAAGACGAGUUUCGCCAUCUUCAGUGGUACGCAGGGUUAUAAGCAGGGUGUUGCACACAUCAACAUAAGAGAUGGUGAAAAUCUGAAGCACGUCUGACAGAAAACCACAUAUGGACUAAAAGGAUGCUUCCAAAAUCCAAAUAAUGUUGGACAUGAUGUCAUCUGUCAAAAUCAAAGAAUUGGGUUUGUUUCGGCGCUUCGCCCUGUUUAUAACCCUGGCCUGCUGAAGAUGAUGAAACGCCGAACCGACCUGGGAGACCAAGAAAAGCGAGCAUAGGCUGACCCGGAUGACCAGAAAGGAUGAGAAAUACUAGUUCAUAGACCUUAACAAGAAAGUUCAUAAUUGAUAAAUGUGUUUAAACAAGUACUCGUUUAGGUAAAUUGACACAAACCUUCUGAAGAUGCUGAAAUGCCUAACCACGCCUGGCACACCAAAACAGCGAAAAUAGGCGGACCACGAUGACCGGAAAGGACUAAAACGCAAUGAAUGAGUUGUAAAUUUAUUAGAACAAAAACAUUAUUUGUCUCUUUAUUAUGUGCCAGGUAUGUUUUUCGUUCUUUCCCCUCCUAGUUCUAUCGUGCUAUUGAAUUGUCAUGAAAAUUUUAUUGUUAUUUAUUGUCUAUGUAAGUUUGUUCUUGUUUGUUGUGAUUGUUAUAUGAGUCGAUUGUUUGGUUAGAAUCAAA